rnacentral:rRNA from 1 species
CCCAAACCCAAUGUGAACCAUACCAAACUGUUGCCUCGGCGGGGUCACGCCCCGGGUGCGUCGCAGCCCCGGAACCAGGCGCCCGCCGGAGGGACCAACCAAACUCUUUACUGUAGUCCCCUCGCGGACGUUAUUUCUUACAGCUCUGAGCAAAAAAUUCAAAAUGAAUCAAAACUUUCAACAACGGAUCUCUUGGUUCUGGCAUCGAUGAAGAACGCAGCGAAAUGCGAUAAGUAAUGUGAAUUGCAGAAUUCAGUGAAUCAUCGAAUCUUUGAACGCACAUUGCGCCCGCCAGUAUUCUGGCGGGCAUGCCUGUCCGAGCGUCAUUUCAACCCUCGAACCCCUCCGGGGGGUCGGCGUUGGGGAUCGGGAACCCCUCAGACGGGAUCCCGGCCCCGAAAUACAGUGGCGGUCUCGCCGCAGCCUCUCCUGCGCAGUAGUUUGCACAACUCGCACCGGGAGCGCGGCGCGUCCACGUCCGUAAAACACCCAACUUUCUGAAAUGUUGACCUCGGAUCAGGUAGGAAUACCCGCUGAACUUAAGCAUAUCA